GCUCAAGUAAACACACUUAGUCAACAGAUCUAAAAAUGAGGGUACUUUUUAUAUGGCUUUCCAAAUACCGUUUCGAUCCCUAACAUCACUGAAGAGACAUUUAUUGUCGAAAUCCGGAUAUGGUGUACUAAAGAAAUAUUGACACCGAAUGUUUGUUUCAAUUUAGACUCGUAUAUAUAUAUAUGUGUACUGAAACGGGCC
rnacentral:lncRNA from 1 species